CGAAGCAGUGGUUCUAUGUAAAGUCUAGAUGCCCUGCUGCUAAUGAAAGUAUUCCUCCUAUUGAACAUUUUUGGGGGAGUACAAAGAAGAAGAAUGCAGGGGGGGUGGACGUCACCUGGAAAGGGAGCACUCGCCGAAAUGCCGAUGUUAUCUGAUGAAGCAGGGCUUUAUCUGUAUCCUGUGUUGAAGUUUAGAUGA
rnacentral:lncRNA from 1 species